UGACCUAGAGGACAUCAUGGUAAAUGACCUG
rnacentral:piRNA from 1 species